AAAAUAGUGGACCGACGGUCUACCGAGCAAUAUCACCCGCUCGGUGGAAGAUCUUCCCUUCCGUCGU
rnacentral:pre_miRNA from 1 species